AGUGAACGCUGGCGGUAGGCCUAACACAUGCAAGUCGAACGGCAGCACAGUAAGAGCUUGCUCUUACGGGUGGCGAGUGGCGGACGGGUGAGGAAUACAUCGGAAUCUACUUUUUCGUGGGGAUAACGUAGGGAAACUUACGCUAAUACCGCAUACGACCUACGGGUGAAAGCAGGGGAUCUUCGGACCUUGCGCGAUUGAAUGAGCCGAUGUCGGAUUAGCUAGUUGGCGGGGUAAAGGCCCACCAAGGCGACGAUCCGUAGCUGGUCUGAGAGGAUGAUCAGCCACACUGGAACUGAGACACGGUCCAGACUCCUACGGGAGGCAGCAGUGGGGAAUAUUGGACAAUGGGCGCAAGCCUGAUCCAGCCAUACCGCGUGGGUGAAGAAGGCCUUCGGGUUGUAAAGCCCUUUUGUUGGGAAAGAAAAGCAGCAGGUUAAUACCCCGCUGUUCUGACGGUACCAAAAGAAUAAGCACCGGCUAACUUCGUG
rnacentral:rRNA from 1 species